ncrna:Saccoglossus kowalevskii microRNA sko-mir-252b precursor
AUCCUUGCUAAGUAGUAGUGCCGCAGGUAAUUAAAAUAAUCAUUUACCUGCUCUCUACUGCUUAACAAGGUAU